AUUGAACGCUGGCGGCAUGCUUUUCACAUGCAAGUCGAACGGCAGCACGGACUUCGGUCUGGUGGCGAGUGGCGAACGGGUGAGUAAUACAUCGGAACGUACCCAGUAAUGGGGGAUAACUAUCCGAAAGGAUAGCUAAUACCGCAUACGCACUACGGGGGAAAGAGGGGGAUCGCAAGACCUCUUGUUAUUGGAGCGGCCGAUGGCUGAUUAGCUAGUUGGUAGGGUAAAGGCCUACCAAGGCAACGAUCAGUAGCGGGUCUUAGAGGACGAUCCGCCACACUGGAACUGAGACACGGUCCAGACUCCUACGGGAGGCAGCAGUGGGGAAUCUUGGACAAUGGGCGCAAGCCUGAUCCAGCAAUGCCGCGUGCGUGAAGAAGGCCUUCGGGUUGUAAAGCGCUUUUGUCAGGGAGCAAAUCCUUGUGGCUAAUACCCACCGAGGAUGAGAGUACCUGAAGAAUAAGGACCGGCUAACUACGUGCCAGCCGCCGCGGUAACAC
rnacentral:rRNA from 1 species